GCGCAGCAGUCGAGAAUCCUCCGCAAUACACGAAAGUGUGACGGGGCCAUCCCGAGUGCCGUCCGCUGAGGACGGCUUUUCCCCAGUGUACAUAGCUGGGGGAAUAAGGAGAGGGCAAGCCUGGUGUCAGCCGCCGCGGGUAAUACCAGCUCUCCGAGUGGUGGGGACGCUUAUUGGGCCUAAAGCAUCCGUAGCCGGCUGGGCAAGUCCUCCGUUAAAUCCAACGAUUCAAUCGUUGGGCUGCGGGGGAUACGUGUCCAGCUUGGGGGGCGGGAGAGGCCGACGGUAUUCCC
rnacentral:rRNA from 1 species